GCCUUCAUGGUGUAACGGUUAGCAUAUUUGAUGCAUAUUCAAGAGGUCCAGGUUCAAGUCCCAGCAAAGGCA
rnacentral:tRNA from 1 species